UCGAGGAUCUUCGGCAAUGGGCGCAAGCCUGACCGAGCGACGCCGCGUGUGCGAAGAAGGCCUUCGGGUUGUAAAGCACUGUCGAGGGGGAGGAAAGCCCGCAAGGGUUUGACCUAUCCCUGGAGGAAGCACGGGCUAAGUUCGUGCCAGCAGCCGCGGUAAGACGAACCGUGCGAACGUUGUUCGGAUUCACUGGGCUUAAAGGGCGCGUAGGCGGGCCGUCAAGUCUGUGGUGAAAUCCCCCGGCUUAACCGGGGAAGUGCCGCGGAUACUGACGGUCUCGAGGGGUGCAGGGGCAUGUGGAACUUCCGGUGGAGCGGUGAAAUGCGUAGAUAUCGGAAGGAACGCCGGUGGCGAAAGCGACGUGCUGGACACCUACUGACGCUGAGGCGCGAAAGCCAGGGGAGCAAACGG
rnacentral:rRNA from 1 species